UCGUCAGGUGGGAUAAUCCUUACCUGUUCCUCCUUUGGAGGACAGAUAAAAUGUGAUGAUUGGAGAUGCAUGAAACGUGAUUAACGUCUCUGCGUAAUCAGGACUUGCAACACCCUGAUUGCUCCUAUCUGAU
rnacentral:snoRNA from 1 species